GGGGCUGUAGCUCAAUCGGAGUGCAUCUGCCUUGCAUGCAGAAGGUCCCAGCUUCAAUGCCCGGCAUCUUCA